rnacentral:misc_RNA from 1 species
GUGAUUUUAGCUCAGGAAUACCCAUCAUCGAUCUCAUGCAGAAGCAGAGAAUAUACAUCACAGCCUGACAUCCGGAAUAAAAAAUUCGAUGAGCUUUAGGGUUUAUUAAAAUCCCAUGUCCAUUUUGAAAUUGGCAAUACUCGUAACACCAAUCCGCUAGUCUUUUCAAAUUGUAUGCAACCAGAUUAGGAGAGACAAACUUCGCUCGAGACAAAUAACUAGCAAGAUACGCAACAGCACUCAUUCUGGUAAGCGGAUCCACAGUUUUUGAGACAAAUAAAUUUGUAAGAAAAUCAGCGAAUAUUAC